GACAGAGGGUGCAAACGUUGUUCGGAAUUACUGGGCGUAAAGCGCGUGUAGGCGGCCCAGCAAGUCGGAUGUGAAAGCCCUGGGCUUAACCUAGGAAGUGCAUUCGAAACUGCUGGGCUUGAGUUCUGGAGAGGAAGGCGGAAUUCUCGGUGUAGAGGUGAAAUUCGUAGAUAUCGAGAGGAACACCGGUGGCGAAGGCGGCCUUCUGGACGGUGACUGACGCUGAGACGCGAAAGCGUGGGGAGCAAACAGG
rnacentral:rRNA from 1 species